rnacentral:rRNA from 1 species
UAUUCCCCACUGCUGCCUCCCGUAGGAGUCUGGUCCGUGUCUCAGUACCAGUGUGGGGGACCUUCCUCUCAGAACCCCUACGCAUCGUCGCCUUGGUGGGCCGUCGCCCCGCCAACAAGCUAAUGCGCCGCAUGCCCAUCCCCUACCGCCGGAGCUUUCCCAGCAGGAGGAUGCCCUCUCGCUGACUACGGGGUAUUAGGCCAAAUUUCUCUGGGUUAUUCCCCUGUAGGGGGCAGGUUGCAUACGUGUUACUCACCAGUGCGCCGGUCGCCAUCGGGCGUAUUGCUAUGCCCAUGCUGCCCCUCGACUUGCAUGUGUUAAGCCUGCCGCCAGCGUUCAUCCUGAGCCAA